UUUAACAUGAGAGUUUGAUCCUGGCUCAGGAUGAACGCUGGCGGCGUGCUUAACACAUGCAAGUCGAACGAAGCAAUUUAACGGAAGUUUUCGGAUGGAAGCUAGAUUGACUGAGUGGCGGACGGGUGAGUAACGCGUGGGUAACCUGCCUCACACUGGGGGACAACAGUUAGAAAUGACUGCUAAUACC
rnacentral:rRNA from 1 species